ACAGAUGAACGAACCUGAAUACAAGCUGUAGAAGUUGAUCCAGACUCCAAUGACUUAAAAAGCUUGACUUUGUGAGCAUACCAAAAAUGUGGCCAUCUGGGAGUAAAGCAACAUACAGAAGAUACUGCAAUUAAGAAGAAAAGACAUAAGAGACCACUAUAGUAUUUUCCACUGGAGAAAUGCAAACCAGGUUCAAACUCAAGAUAAUUUCACUUGCCUGGAAAAGCAGCACUGUCCACUCCUAAUGGUAACUUACUAUGGACAAAAUUUAUCUGUCUGGUCAGGGAUAAAUCCUGACAGCAUAUGUGACUGAGUCAUACGCCUCCUCUUUGGUAACUGAAUUAAUUCCUUGUGCAUUAAUAA